CCUACGGGAGGCAGCAGUGGGGAAUAUUGGACAAUGGGGGCAACCCUGAUCCAGCAAUGCCGCGUGAGUGAUGAAGGCCUUAGGGUUGUAAAGCUCUUUCGGCGGGGACGAUGAUGACGGUACCCGCAGAAGAAGCCCCGGCUAACUUCGUGCCAGCAGCCGCGGUAAUACGAAGGGGGCGAGCGUUGUUCGGAAUAACUGGGCGUAAAGGGCGCGCAGGCGGCCCCUCAAGUCAGAUGUGAAAGCCCCGGGCUCAACCUGGGAACUGCAUUUGAGACUGAGGGGCUCGAGGACGGGAGAGGAGAGUGGAAUUCCCAGUGUAGAGGUGAAAUUCGUAGAUAUUGGGAAGAACACCAAUGGCGAAGGCAGCUCUCUGGACCGUUACUGACGCUGAGGCGCGAAAGCGUGGGGAGCAAACAGGAUUAGAUACCCCAGUAGUC
rnacentral:rRNA from 1 species